CAAAACUACCCCUUUCAUUAUAUACAUACUAAAUAACACACACCAAACAAACACCCAACACACCUCUUUGCAUCUCUCUCUCCGAGCCAAAUACAAACCUAGCCACCGACCGACGCACGAAGAGGCAAAAAGAAGCAACUGGACCGGGAAGAUCAAAGACUUUUCUCUCUCUCAUCGAAAUACACCUCUCGUUCUCUUUCUCACUAGAGUACUUGGAUGUUUACCUUGUAGCAGAUUGGACAAAUAGUCUUCGCCACAAAUGGAGAUGGAUUGGAGAUGUAUUCUGCUACUGAUUAUUGAAUAGAUCUCAGAUUCUAGUUCUGAAGUUUGAAAUGGCAUAUGACAGAUUGCAUGAUAUCAUUGUUCAUUUUGAAGGACACAUACAUGUAAUAGGGAAUGUUCAUCUAGACAAGUUCAGUUAUUUCAUGCUGUAUAAUAAUGUUAUUAUAUUGCUGAAAAAUGAUGUUCAGAAAGGUGCGGCAUUGAAUUUUUUCUUUAAAAUUUCUGGAACUGAUCAGAAAGGUGCGACAUUGACUUUAAGUUGGGAAUGUAUUGAUAUAUUUUGAGACUUUAAGUUAGAAUUAUUUAUGUAUUUUGAGCCUUAAAGUUGGGAAUGUAUUGAUAUAUUUUGAGAUUUUAAGUUGCUGUAACAAGUUUUCAAAAUUGGAUUAGACAUAACACAUAUUUUAGCUUA